UACAGAGGGUGCAAGCGUUGUUCGGAAUUAUUGGGCGUAAAGCGCGUGUAGGCGGCUUUGCAAGUCGGGUGUGAAAGCCCUCAGCUCAACUGAGGAAGUGCGCCCGAAACUGCAGAGCUUGAGUGCCGGAGAGGGUGGCGGAAUUCCCCAAGUAGAGGUGAAAUUCGUAGAUAUGGGGGAGGAACACCGGUGGCGAAGGCGGCCACCUGGACGGUAACUGACGCUGGAGACGCGAAAGCGUGGGUAGCAAACAGG
rnacentral:rRNA from 1 species